rnacentral:misc_RNA from 1 species
ACCAUCCAGGAUUGGGUGAUGAGAGGUGGCCUUUCGUGACUCACUUUGUUGGUUGCAAGCCUUGUGGGAGCUAUGGGGAUUAUCCUGUUGAACAGUGCUUGAGAAGCAUGGAAAGGGCUUUCAAUUUCGCCGAUAACCAGGUGCUUAAUUUAUACGGUUUUGGGCACAGGGGACUAUUGAGCCCCAAGAUCAAGAGGAUCAGGAAUGAGACAGUAACUCCAUUGGAGUAUGUAGACCAGUUUGAUAUUCGCCAU